UGCAGUCGAGCGGACCUCUUCGGAGGUUAGCGGCGGACGGGUGAGUAACACGUGGGCAACCUGCCUGUAAGACUGGGAUAACUCCGGGAAACCGGAGCUAAUACCGGAUAGUAUCUUGAACCGCAUGGUUCAAGUUGGAAAGACGGUUUCGGCUGUCACUUACAGAUGGGCCCGCGGCGCAUUAGCUAGUUGGUGAGGUAAUGGCUCACCAAGGCAACGAUGCGUAGCCGACCUGAGAGGGUGAUCGGCCACACUGGGACUGAGACACGGCCCAGACUCCUACGGGAGGCAGCAGUAGGGAAUCUUCCGCAAUGGACGAAAGUCUGACGGAGCAACGCCGCGUGAGUGAUGAAGGUUUUCGGAUCGUAAAACUCUGUUGUUAGGGAAGAACAAGUGCGAGAGUAACUGCUCGCACCUUGACGGUACCUAACCAGAAAGCCACGGCUAACUACGUGCCAGCAGCCGCGGUAAUACGUAGGUGGCAAGCGUUGUCCGGAAUUAUUGGGCGUAAAGCGCGCGCAGGCGGUUUCUUAAGUCUGAUGUGAAAGCCCCCGGCUCAACCGGGGAGGGUCAUUGGAAACUGGGAAACUUGAGUGCAGAAGAGGAGAGUGGAAUUCCACGUGUAGCGGUGAAAUGCGUAGAGAUGUGGAGGAACACCAGUGGCGAAGGCGACUCUCUGGUCUGUAACUGACGCUGAGGCGCGAAAGCGUGGGGAGCGAACAGGAUUAGAUACCCUGGUAGUCCACGCCGUAAACGAUGAGUGCUAAGUGUUAGAGGGUUUCCGCCCUUUAGUGCUGCAGCUAACGCAUUAAGCACUCCGCCUGGGGAGUACGGUCGCAAGACUGAAACUCAAAGGAAUUGACGGGGGCCCGCACAAGCGGUGGAGCAUGUGGUUUAAUUCGAAGCAACGCGAAGAACCUUACCAGGUCUUGACAUCCUUUGCCACUUCUAGAGAUAGAAGGUUCCCCUUCGGGGGACAAAGUGACAGGUGGUGCAUGGUUGUCGUCAGCUCGUGUCGUGAGAUGUUGGGUUAAGUCCCGCAACGAGCGCAACCCUUGAUCUUAGUUGCCAGCAUUCAGUUGGGCACUCUAAGGUGACUGC
rnacentral:rRNA from 2 species